CAGCAAUCGAUCUGAUGAUGACGUGGACAGCAAGUCUCAGAAAACGUCUGAUGAAAAACCAGAGCUGACGAGUCUGAUCCUGGGCGGUCUGACUGUUUUCCUUGUAAUGGUCAUCAUUGGUCUGGUUGUUAAAAUCAGGAAACUUCAGAAAGGUGAGGAUGAAGAAAAAGACCCACAACGGAGAGAGAAUCUGCACUCUGGUGACUUGAACUACGCAACAGUGGAUUUUGGUCCAGCAGCAAGAAGAAGAAGAGAGCUGGAGCCAAAUGUUGUGUACGCUGCCACCAGAUAGACUCAUUAACCUGCUGUUUGGAUGAGGCUAGUGGAGGGGGAGGGGUCACUAUUACUCUUGUCCAGAAGUAUUCAUUUUACAGUGAAGGUGCCAUGAAGACCGUCUCAUGUCUAAAAGAAUAUGGCUGGUGUUGCAGCAGAGGAGGAGGGAGUGAGAAACACAUGACUUGUUUGACAGGAAGAGACAGCACAGUGUGGUCUGAGCACAGAGGGGGAAUCAUGAGGCCUGAAAAUUAAAACCUGAAAACACAGUGAAUGAAGUCUGCCUCUCUUCUGUAAUGCUGACAUGUGGAAUAGCAUCACCUGUAUCUCUCUGGACUGAAGAACAUUCUGCAUCAAUAUAGUAACAGUAUGUUUUAACUGAGGGUGUGUAUA